rnacentral:misc_RNA from 1 species
GGAUGUUGCUUCAUGUAGCAAACUGUAUGAUUUUAAAAGUUUUACAAACUAUAGAAAAUGACAUAUAUGAACAAGAAAGAACAACUAAUUUUAUAUUAUAAAUUGCACAAUAAUAUUGUAAAAAAUACAAUGAAACCCUUCAAAAAAAUAUAAUCAAACGAUGAAUAACAAUAAUAAUAUAAUAACAACAAUUAAUUCUACUAUUAAUUAACUUUUAAUUUUGCUGCCCACCGAAGUAAAAUGACAUUUUUCAAAUAACACCACCAACUUCUUCAAACUUGAUUUCCAGAAUUCAUCAACUUCAUCUCUAUUUCUCUAUAUCAAUUGGAUCCGCUCAAACUUGGCAAAACCCCACCUUAUACAAAGCAGAGUCACCGGUUGAAAUCCGUUCACCGGCCGGCUGACUAGGAAAACCGACACAGGCCUUUAGCAGGAUAUGUAACAAUGGUGUAUGUAUGCAAUUACAGCCCAAUAAGCUGGAUGGACGAACAUUAUAAGUGGGGAAAAAGAAUAGAAAGAAAAUGACAUACAAAGACAAGAAUCCUAUAUAUAGAGAUAUAAAAUAUCCUUUCUUGAAUCUUAUUGGAUGUGGAAAGGUUCUUGAUGAUCUUGAGUUUGAAGCUUAUUAGCUUCAUUGAGAAAUCUUGAUUCCAUCAUCGAAAUUCUUGGAGUAACUGAAAGAAUCAUACCUGUAAGUUUGAGGAAGGCCAACUUUGUCAUUAGAUCUCACAAUCUUUCUAAUCUCUGAUCUAGCUUUGUAGAACACAUGUCUCCAGCUUCCUUUGUUUUGGCAACCAAGAAUCCUAGUUUCUUCUUCAUUCAUUUCAAGAUCUUUAGCGAAAACAGGCUUUCUUGAGAGGAUCCAAGACCAACCCCAAUCCCACCAUUUCCUGAUGGAGCUUCCUGCAUAUUCUCCCACAGAAGACAUAGAUUUGGAUCGCGGGAAAGACCAGGAAGUUGCAGGGGAAGUAAUGGGGUGGAUUUUGAGGGAUAGAGAGGAAAGCCUUCGGCGGAGGCCUUGAUCUUGGGAGGAUGAGUCAGUAUGGGAGAGUGGGAGACCAUGGCUUGAUGUGCAUGCCUUGUGGAAGGUCUGGAUAAUGGAGGUCAUUGUGAGAGGAGGAGGAAGAAGUAGAAGAAGCUAUGGUUUGUGUUAGGAGGAAGGAGAGGAAUGAAGAGGAAAAAAGAGAGAAAGCUGAGGUGAAAUGUAGUGCUCACAGCUCUAUCACAGGCUGGUUUAUUCGUUUUUUGUGCUAAUGGGUCCACU